GCUGGGGCUCAGUGGGAGAGCACCUGCCUAGCAUGUGUGAGGCACUGGGUUCAAUUCUCAGCACUGCA
rnacentral:tRNA from 1 species